rnacentral:rRNA from 1 species
GACGUAGGGCGCGAGCGUUGUCCGGAUUUAUUGGGCGUAAAGAGCUCGUAGGCGGCUUGUCGCGUCGAAUGUGAAAACUCGGGGCUCAACUCCGAGCUUGCAUUCGAUACGGGCAGGCUAGAGUUCGGUAGGGGAGACUGGAAUUCCUGGUGUAGCGGUGAAAUGCGCAGAUAUCAGGAGGAACACCGGUGGCGAAGGCGGCAUCCUGGACCGGCAUUGACGCUGAGGAGCGAAAGCCAGGGGAGCAAACGGG